CCGGCGGCUGAAGAGGAGCCGCGGCGAGGUAGCAACCUUGGCAGUGGGAGCCCAGCAGGUCCCGUCUUUGUCCCUGUGCUGAUACAGAGAGACUCUCCGUGCUGUGGACGCCUCCAUCUGGGCACAUGUUUCAGUUGUUUUCUAAAUACCAAGAGCACAGAUUGCUCAGUAAUAAUAGCUCUCCUGCAAAUCUGGAAUCACUUAGGCAGCUGCAGUGCCUCUAAGCCUCCUUGCAUCCAAGGCUGUGAUCAAGGAGGACUGGUGUCUGAGUGGGCUUGAGAAGGGCCCGGAGAACAGCGGGUUUCCUGAUCACAAAUCAGCCUGUCAUUCAGCAUGUGUUCCCUUGGUGACUCAGGGCGAUAUCUGCCCUUCUCCGGAGGUCAAGGGCUCAUCGUGUCAAUUGUGGUCUUGAGUUUGUUUUUUUUUUCCUCUUGAAAUCAUUGUAAUUAAGCUAAAAGUAUAGUGUUGGUAUCCAGCACAUGUUUGCAAAGUAUUUAACAAUGAGCAAAAACUUUAAGAAUAAAUUAAAGCAUCUAGUUUACUUUUUGCCAACAGCCAGGUUCCUGCUAGAAAUGAUUUUGAAAUAAAUGUUGUCUUGGAAAUAG
rnacentral:lncRNA from 1 species